AAACUCAACCCUGAAUAUCCUCCCUCCUGUUCAUUCCUAUCUGUUCACAGAGCUUCUUGUAACAACGGCAGUUUGGUUGCACGUCUCGUAUCCUUAUUUUUUGAAACACCGAAGAUCAACAAUCCUCCUGUUGCCAAGGGAACAGUUAUCAGCAAAUGCAGGAAGAUGUGGGUUUUCUGGAGCCGGAUUACUGGCGAGGAAGCUGCUGGCACUGCUUGAGGCCUGUUCAAAGAUGUCUGCAACAUCAGCUGGCUCUGUGCAUUGUGGGAAUGCAAACAGCUUUGCAUGGACGCUGUCAAGCAUAAGACAUUUAAUUCAUAAAGCAGGCAGUCUGUUGUGUGAGAUGCAGAUUAAACAAGAAACCAUCCAGAGUCAAAACGAAUCAAAGGACUUGCAUGCUGAAGGUGACAUUGGUCUGGAGGAUCGCGCGCUGGUCGCUGCAUUCCAUCAUUGCUUGUUCCCCCAGCUGACGGGAGAUAAAUUGAAGCUCGUUUCUUCAGUAACAGCCAUGCUCUGGCCGAGUAUGACCUUGCCUGUGCAUACAACCCUGCUAGAGAAUCAGAGAGCUAAAUUUGCAGAACCUGUGUCGCUGGCCAGUGUGGAGAACCCUUCUCUCACGCUGGAGCUCAGCAGUGUAAAGGGAGCACUGGAUGAAGAGUCUGAGGCCAUUGCAAAGGCAGCUACACAAAGGCAGCUGUGUGCUGAUGACAAGUUCAUCUCUCGAGUCCUCCAACUGGCUCACCUUGUGCAAACCUAACAAAUUACGGCUAUCGUGGAGCCAGCAGGAUGUGGAAAGAGUGAGUGCAUCCGGACGUACCUUCAAUCUGGGAGGGAGAAGGGGACGGACAUGGAUGUGCAGACUGUGUUCAUCAGAGCUCUGGAAUCUCAACAGCUGUUGGGGUACACAGACCCAGAGUCGGGAUGGAUGGAUGGUUUGCUUCCAAAGCUAUUGAGACUGUACUGGCUUGGGCUCCCUGCUGCUUCCAAAGAGAUUACUGGAACUGUGAAGACAGUUCACCUCGAUGGACAAAUUGAUGCACAGCAGAUGGAGCACAUGCAGGCAAUUCUCAGCAGCAAUGCUUGAAUCGCUGGAGGACAUUAGCCCGACCAUAGUCUGCUGUUUGGGCAUCUUGUCAAUAACUAGCAGUGACCUAGACUGGAAACUGCCCUUAACCAAAUGGCUUCAGGGCUGCCCUGAACACUACAGGUGUCUCCUUCAGCAGCCCACUGGAGAGUUCUUAGAGCCUGUUGUGGAAUUGGUUUGUAAGAGUUCUUCAUCGACACGCACAGACACUCAAACUGAAAAAAGUAACCAACAAUUCUGUAGAAAACAUGGUGCAGACAUUCUGCAGGAUUUUUGAGGCACUGAAUCCUCUGAGCGUGGACAUGCCAUUUGAAGCUGUGAAGAAAUAUUUCCUUUUUGCAAGCCUUUGGGCUUUUGGGGGUACCUUGGAGUCCCAGUGCAGAGUGCCCUUCAAUCACUGGUGGAGAGAACAGUUUGGAAAGGACUGUGUCUUUCCUGUGGAG